rnacentral:lncRNA from 1 species
CGUCUUUCUGCCGCCACUGAGAGAGUCGACUCCGCUACUGAGAGAGUCGACUCCGCUAACGCGGGGACGACUCGACAGGACCCGGGGACGUCUCCAAGUGUGCCAGUUCUUCCUGUUUGUGCCAGAGACGUCUCUGAAACUAUCAAGAGACGUCUCGGCUGUCCCUGAACUUUUUCUUUAGCUCAAAAUAUUCUUCAAUAAAUUCAUAAAAAUUAUGGGAACUUGCCUAGACAUUUCUUAACAAUAUUCUAAAUAAAACACAUGAAUUUCUCAAUUGAAUUGUUAAGAUAUAAUGGAAUUUUACUCUAGUGUUUUGUAUUCAUCAAAAUCCAUUAGGGGGUUAACAGAGUCGACUCGGACUUUGCGGGAGUCGACUCGGCUCUCAGACACCAAAGUUGGCUCUCUGACUUUUAGCCUUGCAUUUCUCUGAGAGUCGACUCUUGCUUCCUUAGGAGUCGACCUGCCAACCGUCGGAGUCGACUCGAGUUCUUCGGGAGUCGACUCGGCUCUCAGAGUCCAAAAUGGCUUCUCUGUCUUUCUGUCUGUUACUCUAUGGAGUCGACUCGUACUA